UGGCUAUAUUAACAAUAGGUUCACAACAUUUCUGAAAGCUUAGUUGUCUUCCAAGAGCUGGUAUGAGCUAGAUCCAGCAACCCACUGAGCCAGAGCUACCUGGUCACCUUGGAAGAAAGAAUUAGGCAAGAGGGUCAGAGAGUGUGACAAUCAGCCCUAACCAUAGUGUUUGGGCCUUGAAAUCUGUAGCUUGCUUAGCCCAAGACAGUUGGGUAAAUCAACAAUUUCCUUUCUUACUUAAUCCAGCCUGAGUUGGGUUUUCUGUUACUUGUAAUUGAAAUAGUCCUACAUGAGACACAAAUUUUUUUUCGUAUUUGCAUACUUCACAUUUAUAAUUCAAGUAAGACUGACUUACAGUAUAUAGUGGGUUGAAUGGUAGCCCUCCAAAAGAUAUGUAUGUUUAUGCCCUACCCCUUGGAACCUGUGAACCUUUUCCCAAAAAGGUCUUUGCAGUUGAAAUUAAAUUUAAGAUCUUGACAUGAGAUCAUCUUGGGUUAACUGGAUGGGCCCCCAACCCAAUGACAAGUGUUCUUAUCAGGGACACCCAGAGGAGAGACCUGGCGAGAAGUAAGAAGGCCACAUGAAGACAGAGGCAGAGAUUUGAGUUAUGCAGCCACAAACCAAGGUUCCAAAGAACCUCGUGGAGCCACGAAGAGCUGGAAGAGGCAAAGAAGGAUACACCCCCAGAGACUUCGGAGGAAGCACAGCCCUGCUCACACCUUGAUUUUGAACUGUGGGCUCCAGAACGCGAGAGAAUAAGUUUCUGUUGUUUUAAGCCACCAAAUGGGUGAUAAUUUGUUACAGAAACUCUAGGAAGCUAAUACAAGGUAGCAAUAUUUUACCUGCUUAACAAACAUCUUUUCCUUCUUUAUCCUAGUUCUAAGUGGAACAAAGAUCCAUUGUAGAAUUUAGGGACAUUUUUGAAGUGGAUGCAAUGAUCGCCAGAGAUAAUCAUAUGCCAGUCUGUUCUGUUUGUAUGCGUGUAAUUAUAAAACCUGAAUCAUGCUGUAUGGACAGUUUCAGGUCACACUUUCAUUUAUUCAUUUAUUUUUUUGCCAAUGCAUUAUGAAGAUUUUCUUGUAUCAUUGUAACUUACUUGAAAAUAGUGCUUUUAGUGGCUACAGAACAUCCUAUUUUAUGGACAUAUCAUAAUUUAUAAUGUUACUACAUUAUUGUUAGAUGAGUAUACAAUUCCUAAUCCUGCACUAUUAUAAAUAACUCUCCACUUGGGAAAAUUUUCUAAAAUUUUAUUUUAUUCUUUUGAGCAUGUCAACAUUUUAAGAAUCCUGAUGCACAUGACCAAGUUGUCUUCUGGGAGGCUUCUUUCAAUCUGGAGCCCUGUCAGCCGCAAGAGUACCCAUUUAACAAUGCCUUUGACAAACCUGAAGCCAAUCACUUUUUAAAAGCUGAACCAAUCUGAUAGGUUAAAGGAAAAUGGUACUUAUACUUGCUUUAAUUUGUUUCUUUGCUUUAGUGAGAUUGCCAGCUUCCUCAUCAGCCACUUGCACCCUUCCUUUUGUGAGUUGACUUUUUGUGCUCUCUGCUCACUUUUCUAUUGGGGGAUCAGCCAUUUACUUAUUGAUUUGAAAGAUCUCUUUAGUGCUGUUACAGAACAUUUAGGAAGAUUUCUUUAUAGAACGUCGCUUUCUAUAAAUAUUUGUUACAUUUUACACGAGGGUCCUCUGACUUACAAAAGAACAAAAUGUUGAAAUCACAUGAGACAAGAAGUCACUCUCUGGGAGGAUGAUAGUGAUUUAACUGCACUUUUUCAUUCUGACUUCAGGCUGGCACACGCAUGCUUGGAUGUUUCCAGUUUCUAAAAAGGGAAUUGGAAUUCUUCCAUUCAGCCCUUUAAAUCCCGGUGGACUGCCUGGGUAGGAAGACUAGGAACUAGUAAAGCUUCACUCAACAGAAGAUAACAGAAAAUUGUAAUCAAUCAGAGCAUCUGCUACCAAGGACUUCUGGCCUCCAGGACCUCGACCCCUAGAGGCAGUGAGCCUUACCUUGGCUCUCCGCAUCUCUGACACUCCCAUUCCUUGGAGAGAGCACUCCACACCCUCUACCCUUGCCUAUUCUCUGGCUUCAUCAUGGCCCUGACUGAUGGGAACAAUCUGGCCUCCUAGUUGCCUCCGACUCCACAUAUCUGCCUCCCACCCCGUUCCUGGCUCGUGGUUGGGCUGUGUGACUGAUGUGGAGAAAAGAGUUUGAAAACCCCCAAAAGGACGCUCACCUGCCCAGAAGUUGUGAGGAAUAAGAUGGUUCCUAGGCGGAGACUCAGUUGCAGAGGGGCAUGAAUGACAUUCGUACUUGGUUCUAGAAGAAGGCGAAAGCCUCUGUAGUCCUUAAGAAGAGUCAUCAGCUGGGAACGUGGGCUGGGAAUGAGAAUGAGGGUGGAUCUGGCUACGAAGAAGCAGUAGGAGGCUGAGUGGUUAUCCAGCAAGGGCCCAGGCUGGCAUGAGAGCAGGGUGACAGUACACAUGCUACAAAGAAUCUUGUCGUCAGAUUGGCUCUGAGGGCUGGAGGCAAGGGAAGAGGUGAUGGCACAUUGACCAAGAGUUGUCCAUCCUGACAAUAGGCUACUCUAAUGUUCCUUCCAACCGGGGACUUGGGCUGAUACAAGAGUGAAGGCUAUUAUCAUCCAAGCCAUUCUCCUAGUAAUACAGAUGUUGCAUUCCUGGCCAAUUUGACAUACAGAAUUCUGAGUUUACUGAAUAGGUAAAAUAGGGAGCAGACUGGUCUCACCAAAAGCGAACCUUGGGCUGAAAAGAGCCUUUGCCCAUUUGCUCAAGUCACAGAUGUAUUCUCUUCUUCCUUUCUGACCCUGCUCCCCGCAAAGGAGGGGAACAGACUGUCAGCAUCUGCCACACUUCCUUUUCUCUCUCUGCCUUUUCUGGCCUCUUUUGCUGUUUUCUCCCACUUGCUUUCUGCGUGCCAGGCUUCCUCCCUUAGCUUUCCCCCCAAACCUUCUUCCAUCGGGGCCCUUAACUAACAUUCGCAAGUUAACUAGGCAUAGGUCUGACCAACAGCUACUUUGGCCUGCAGUGUCAGAAAGCUACCAGGGCCACUGUUCCUACAAGACACCCACCCCACUCCAGCCCAACAAAGAGGGCCAGCACAAGAGAGGAAAAAAGACGGAAUGGUUUGGGUGUUUGGGGCCUGGCUUAGGGGGCAGGAAGACUAGAUGGCCCUAGGUAAGUAAUGUCACCUUUCUGAGGCUCAGACUUCACAUCAUAAAUGGGAAUGCUAAACAGUAACCCCCUCCUAGCUGCUGUGAGGCUGACCAUCAUGGGAGUAGGUUACGGCUAGAACCACAGAACCAUGGUGCCAACAUCACCCCUUGCCUACUCUGGCAGUGUGUCUAAACCAGCCCUGGCAGGGGAAAAGCCAUCAGCAGGUGGGUGGCAGAGCAGAGUAGCUGAACUUUCAGUUCCAGUGAAGACUUGGACUACUUCCAAGGCUCUGUAAACUGCCACAACCACCUAGUGCGUCAUUGGGAAGCAAUCUGGCAAAGACCAUCAGAAGCUUCUUUUCUGGACACCAUGAGGGUGUUGCGAUUGGUGUAAUCUAACUUCUGUGCACAUGGGCCAGUGUUCAGAUACCAAGUCAGAAGGAGCCUGAGCUCUCCUUGAAUCUGCUUUCUGUCCUCGGAAGAUGAGCUGAGGUCAGGGAGACUAAGUGAUUCACCCAAGGUCAAGGAUAAGUGAUUCACCCAAGGUCAAGGUCUGUGAUCUUCUUUAACUUGCCUUUCUUGCCCAAAUUAUUUUGUUAUUUAUCCAUACUUAUGCAACUGUACUUCACUCAUUUUCACUGUUGAAUAGUACUCCAUUGCAUCCAUAGACCACAAUUAAUUUAUUCAUUUUCCCGUUGAUCGGCAAUUGUGUUAUUUCCACUGUUUUGGAAUUUUCCAUUAAAAAUGGUGCUUCUGUGACAAUUCUUGCAUGUGACCUUGGUGUACAUGGUAUAUUCGUACUAUUUCAUCAUGUCUAUGAUCUAAAUUGCUUUGGUGAUACCAAAGUGUUUCCAGAGUGAUUGCACCCACUUGUAUUUUUAUCAACAGUGUGUUAGAGUUCCAAAUUUUCUUUAAGGUUGGUUGGGACUAUCCAUUUUUCAUCUGUUCAUCUAGUGAUUAAAACUCAUAUCCACUGUGCUGUGCAAA